CACGUAGGGGGCAAGCGUUGUCCGGAUUUAUUGGGCGUAAAGAGCUCGUAGGUGGUUCGGUAAGUCGGGUGUUAAACCCCCAGGCUCAACCUGGGGACGCCACUCGAUACUGCUGUGACUUGAGUCCGGUAGGGGAGCGUGGAAUUCCUGGUGUAGCGGUGAAAUGCGCAGAUAUCAGGAGGAACACCGGUGGCGAAGGCGGGUCUCUGGGCAGUAACUGACGCUGAGGAGCGAAAGCGUGGGGAGCGAACAGG
rnacentral:rRNA from 1 species